rnacentral:rRNA from 1 species
GUGAGUAUUUACCUUUAGGAGGGGGAUAACAACUGGAAACGGUUGCUAAUACCCCAUAUGCUCGAGAGUGAAAUGGAUUUUUCCGCCUAAAGAAAAGCUCGCGGCUGAUUACCCUAGUUGGUAAGGUUAAUGGCUUACCAAGGCGACGAUCAGUAUCUGGUUUGAGAGGACGANCNGNCNCACUGNAACUGAGACACGGUCCAGACUCCUACGGGAGGCAGCAGUAGGGAAUUUUCCGCAAUGGGCGAAAGCCUGACGGAGCAAUACCGCGUGAGGGAAGACUGCCUAUGGGUUGUAAACCUCUUUUUUCAGGGAGGAAUUAAUGACGUGUACCUGAAGAAUAAGCAUCGGCUAACUCCGUGCCAGCAGCCGCGGUAAGACGGAGGAUGCAAGUGUUAUCCGGAAUCACUGGGCGUAAAGCGUCUGUAGGUGGUUGUUUAAGUCAACUGUUAAAUCUUGAGGCUCAACUUCA